rnacentral:rRNA from 1 species
GUCUACGGCCAUACCACACUGAACGAGCCCCCCCUCCCCCAUCUCAUCUGAUCUCAGAAACUAAGCAGAGUUGGGCCUGGUUAGUACUUAGAAGGGAGGAUAGGGGAGAUAUAGAGA